CUUGAGCGGACCUCCGCUGGGAGGGCAUUCCAGCGGUCAGAGCCAAGGAAAGUGACAGAAAAUAAACCAUAGCGACGUUUGGCUGUCGGAUAAGGAUAUGACCUCCAACUUCUGUCGUCUGAUACUUCCGUGGAUAUCCGGAUCAUUUUGUUCAGUCGCGUUAGCAGCCUAACUGUCGAACCUGACAGCAGAUUAUGCCGAUGUACUCCGUGUGGUGUAGACCAGAUGUGUCCAUUGCAAGGAUGCGACUUACCCGCCGUGUAAUCCUCGUCCAGUGAUUGCCGUGCUGGACUUCAGUCCGCCAGUCUGUGAGCUGGCCACCGAGAAAGUUGAACGUUUGACCACGAGCAGAGAGAGCCCAAAUGACCCACCAACCAAUAUGCCCGAGAAAAAUGACUGCUACUCGAUUCAAUCAGGGUCGUAUCAUGUGAUUUUAAGGCCCUUAGUGUGCACUUUUUAGGAGAUGAAGAAUACUCGAAUACUCGAAUAUUCGAUCGGAGAAAAUCAGAGUACUCGAACUCGGGAUCUCAUUGCCAACUUUCACCCCUAGUUCACGGGGUACCUGGGGCAAAAAGUCGUACGGUCAGUACCGUAGUGACCUUACCGUGUGCGACGCCCCUGGUAUUGGAAUGCAUGUACAGGUUGUGUAGAGUGGCAUUGUGGCCGUGCCUGCAUGGCGCUGGUUAUCGGUUGAGGGUGCAACAUUCUUUGUCUGUUCUACCGCAGAGUUAUCAGAUUGGCCCUCGUGAAAUCAUUCUCACGUACAUUUGUACUUUGAAGUACUAAGAACAAAAAAGCGAAAACGCAACCUGCAUGCACACACGUGCACACGCACACGUGCACACACACACACACACACUCACCCCCCCCCCCCACACACACACCCACACAUGCGCGUGCGCACACACACGCACACACCGCCACACGCAGACUAACAAUGAUUUUUCACCGUGCCGUACAUAUUAUAAACAUUUGGGCAACUUUUUCUAAUCUUGUUGAAUGAUUUCUUUUCCUGCGUGUCUCAGAUGUCCCUGGCACAGCGCUAUGCCUCACGCGUCCACCGGAUCAACCUGGCCCAGCGUAUCGAUGAUCUAAUCGAUCAGAAAGCCCAGCAAGCUGAGUUUGAUGAGGAUGCCAGACUCAUUGCCGG